GUCCAGAUCAUGUUUUCAGGUUCAGAACACAAUUUCAUGCGUCUGAAAGUACAAUAUUCAAAAGUUCUCAUCGCUUGAUGUACAUUUUUACACGUGAUUCUUCAGCAUGUCCUUUCUGCCAUGAACAGGUGAAUAAAGUGCCUAUCUUCUUAAUUUCACACGUUUUGAAAUGAAGCAUUUCUUUACACCUGAUUUUUUUUUUCUCACCUUUUUGUUUUUGCUUUUACAACUGUAGAAAACGCGUGACAAAUGUGAAGGUUUUUUUUUCAAAGUAGGAAAAUGCUAUAGAUGAUUUUCUCUGCCCCAAAAGCCUUUAUAUUUAGAAAAACUAAUGUUUAUAUAGAAGUCCAUUCAUUGAUUCCUUCAAGUAAGCUUAUGAUCGGAAAAACAUCGACAGAGGAGCUCCUUCUCUAACGUUAACAAUCUGUAAGUGUGCAAUUUUAUUUCCAGAUUCUAGAUAUAUAUUUAUACAUUCCAUCAUGGUUUUACAACUAGUACAGUAUAGCGUUUAUGGAUGUGUAUUUAUCUUCCGAAAGUCCGCUAGCAUGUUGUGCUAUAAGCUUCCCAUACUAUUGUAUUUUAGUUAGCUAAGUUAGCUGUCUUUUAUACUGACUAACGUUAGGCAAGAGGGUGUUGUACCUAGUUUGUUUACUCAUGUCAUAGUGAAAACGUCGCCCUUUUCUGACAAGUCAUUUCAUGCCAACUGUCAGCCCAGGAACUUGUGAUAUAAAUCCAUGUCGUCAUCGUUAUGUUACUGAAACUAACGUUGCUAUCUAUUUCAUGCCUGCUAGUUAACAGUACAAUGUUAGCUAUUUUGUGUGCUAACCCAGCUUCCUAUUUAUUUUUCAAAGGCAGGAUGGAGACACUGGGAUGUAUGUCAGAGACCCAUACAGUAGUAACCCCGCCGUAGGCUUGCUUGACAUCUACCAAGAGGUCUGGACCUUUAUGGCUCAGAAAGAACAGGAUAGGUCUAAACAAAGAUACUGGUCAUAUAGCUUUUGUCAAGUGUGUUUAAACUACACUGAUCCAGGGCAAGCAGCCCUGGUCCCACUCCUCUCCCUCAAUCACUACAGUGGCAUUACUUGAACUUCUAUCGCUCCUGUAGCACCAGCAGGUUGGAGAUGUGGACACCACCAUUCCCAUUAUGUACCGCUUCUGUUUUUCAUUUCUUUCUACUUGGAACUGUGGUUCACACAUGUUAUGUUGUCUAAUUCCAGGUGCAUACAGGAAGAAUUUUAUUUUUGUAUACUCCCAUUUUAUUAUAGUGGUCUUUCCACAUGUCAUAAAUAGAGUAGAUGGUUAAAGGGCAUUCCUUUCGUUUGACAUGUGUGCUCAAAGUGUUUAAUCUCUGUCAUUGUGUUUUACAGCAAUCUUCUUCAACGUGGUGACGUGGAACAACCUGAAUUUUUAUUUCUGUUGGUAAGGUAUGGCUUGUGUGAGGUGGUGGGAUUUGUGUGAGUUUAUUUUUUGGUUGUUGAUGAUGAUGAUGAUGACCAGGAGGUGGAUGGCAAAGGGGAGAUCAGAAAAGGUCCUAACCACUAGGUGGUUCUGGAAUCCUGGGAAGGGGGUGCCCUUUAACCAUCUACUCUGUGUUGAUCAAGGUGUUUAUAUGUUGUUUGUUGGGGUGGUUGUGUAGUCUAGAAGGGGGUGCCCGGCCGUGUUGAUCAAGGUGUUUAUAUGUUGUUGUUUGUUGGGGUGGUUGUGUAGUCUAGAAGGGGGUGCCCGGCCGUGUUGAUCAAGGUGUUUAUAUGUUGUUUGUUGGGGUGGUUGUGUAGUCUAGAAGGGGGUGCCCGGACGUGUUGAUCAAGGUGUUUAUAUGUUGUUUGUUGGGGUGGUUGUGUAGUCUAGAAGGGGGUGCCCGGACGUGUUGAUCAAGGUGUUUAUAUGUUGUUGUUUGUUGGGGUGGUUGUGUAGUCUAGAAGGGGGUGCCUGGCCGUGUUGAUCAAGGUGUUUAUAUGUUGUUGUUUGUUGGGGUGGUUGUGUAGUCUAGAAGGGGGUGCCCGGCUGUGUUGAUCAAGGUGUUUAUAUGUUGUUUUUUGGGGUGGUUGUGUAGUCUAGAAGGGGGUGCCCGGCCGUGUUGAUCAAGGUUUGCCUGUUCACUCAUCCAGAAGGCGAGGUCAGUACAGAUGCAUCUAAGCUGGGACCGAGAGACUGAAAAACAGCUUCUAUCUCAAGGCCGUCAGACUGUUAAACAGCCAUCACUAACAUACAGUGGCUGCUGCCAACAUACUGACUCAACUCAAGCCACUUUAAUAAUGAAAAAUGUAUGUAAUAAAUGUAUCGCUAGCCACUUUAAACAAUGCCACUUUAUAUAAUGUUUACAUAUCCUACAUUACUCAUGUCAUAUGUAUAUACUGUACUCUAUAUCAUCUACUGCAUCUUGCCAUCUUGAUGUAAUAAAUGUAUCACUAGCCACUUUAAUCAAUGCCACUUUAUAUAAUGUUUACAUACCCUACAUUACUCAUCUCAUAUGUAUAUACUGUACUCUAUACCAUCUACUGCAUCUUGCCUAUGCCGUUCGGCCAUCGCUCAUUCAUAUAUUUUUAUGUACAUAUUCUUAUUCAUUCCUAUACACUUGUGUGUAUAAGGUAGUUAUUGUGAAAUUGUUAGAUAUUACUGCAUGGUCAGAACUAGAAGCACAAGCAUUUCCCUACACUCGCAUUAACAUCUGCUAACCAUGUGUAUGUGACAAAUAAAAUAAGAUUUGAGGUGUUAAAAUGUUUUUUGGGUUGUUUUUUUUUGGUGCGGUUGGUGAAUAUUUUACCCAUUGCCACUCAUUUUACCUGUAGGUAGGUAUUACUGUUCAAUUCAAAGUAAUUCAGAGUAAGUGAGUUCCAGUAAUCGUAGUAGAUGAUGGUCUGGUCUGCCUGGUUGUGGGGUAUUGUAGUAGUUGAUGGUCUGCCUGGUUGUGGGGUAUUGUAGUAGUUGAUGGUCUGUCUGGUUGUGGGGUAUUGUAGUAGUUGAUGGUCUGUCUGGUUGUGGGGUAUUGUAGUAGUUGAUGGUCUGUCUGGUUGUGGGGUAUUGUAGUAGUUGAUGGUCUGGUCUGGUUGUGGGGUAUUGUAGUAGUU
rnacentral:lncRNA from 1 species